rnacentral:rRNA from 1 species
UACGUAGGUGGCGAGCGUUGUCCGGAUUUACUGGGCGUAAAGGAUGCGUAGGCGGAUAUUUAAGUGAGAUGUGAAAUACCCGAGCUUAACUUGGGUGCUGCAUUUCAAACUGGAUAUCUAGAGUGUGGGAGAGGAGAAUGGAAUUCCUAGUGUAGCGGUGAAAUGCGUAGAGAUUAGGAAGAACACCAGUGGCGAAGGCGAUUCUCUGGACCAUAACUGACGCUGAGGAGCGAAAGCGUGGGGAGCGAACAGG